rnacentral:rRNA from 1 species
AUUGAACGCUGGCGGCAGGCCUAACACAUGCACGUCGAACGAGUGGCGGACGGGUGAGUAAUGUCUGGGAAACUGCCUGAUGGAGGGGGAUAACUACUGGAAACGGUAGCUAAUACCGCCUACCAUCAAAUGUGCCCAGAUGGGAUUAGCAGGUUGGUGGGGUAACGGCUCAUCAAGGCGACGAUCCCUAGCUGGUCUGAGAGGCGGACAAGCCACAAUGGAACUGAGACACGGUCCAGAUUCCUACGGUGUGCAGCAGUGAGGAAUAUUGCACAAUGGGCGCAAGCCUUAUGCAGCCAUGCCGCGUGUAUGAAGAAGGCCGUCGGGUUGUAAAGUACUUUCAGCGGGGAGGCGUUACCCGCAGAAGAAGGACCGGCUAACUCCGUGCCAGCAGCCGCGGUAAUAC